GACGAACGCUGGCGGCGUGCCUAAUACAUGCAAGUCGAGCGCAGGAAAUCAUCCGAACCCUUCGGGGGGACGUUGAUGGAAUGAGCGGCGGACGGGUGAGUAACACGUAAAGAACCUGCCCUCAGGUCUGGGAUAACCACGAGAAAUCGGGGCUAAUACCGGAUGGGUCAUCGGACCGCACGGUCCGAGGAUGAAAGGCGCUUCGGCGUCGCCUGGGGAUGGCUUUGCGGUGCAUUAGCUAGUUGGUGGGGUAAUGGCCCACCAAGGCGACGAUGCAUAGCCGACCUGAGAGGGGGAUCGGCCACACUGGGACUGCGACACGGCCCAGACUCCUACGGGAGGCAGCAGUAGGGAAUCUUCCACAAUGGACGAAAGUCUGAUGGAGCAACGCCGCGUGAACGAUGAAGGCCUUCGGGUCGUAAAGUUCUGUUGUAAGGGAAGAACAAGUGCCGCAGGCAAUGGCGGCACCUUGACGGUACCUUGCGAGAAAGCCACGGCUAACUACGUGCCAGCCGCCGCAGUAACAC
rnacentral:rRNA from 1 species